rnacentral:lncRNA from 1 species
AAAACCCCUUAAAAAUGGGAGGGGAGUUAAAAUAUCUUACCAGCCUCCAUUAGUCCUCACAGCACAGUUCCUGGAAUGUACUAUUACGCGAGAGAAAGCAAGGGAGAGGAAGGAGCGAUUCCCCCCCCCCCCCCCCGGGUCCUCAGCAAAAUGGGUACAUGCCAGAAAGUAUGCUGUGAGGUCUAAUGGAGGCUGGUUACGCAAUCCUGGUACCUAAGAUGUUCCUCAUGGAAAGAGAGCUUUCCAGAUCUCUUACCUUUUUGUUGACCUCCUCUGAACACAUUACAGCUCAUCAAACUCCUUUUUGAAUUGUGGUGCCCAGAAAUGGAUACAGUGCUCCAAGCCAGAAUAAUGAGGUACUAUUACUUCCCUUGGUCUAGAGAUACUAUACUGCUAUUGCUGCACAGAAUCACAUUUGCUUUUUAGCUGCUGCCUUACACAGUUGACUCGCGUUCUCCUUAUGGUCAGUUAUGGCUUCUAGAUCCCUUUAUGUUGUCAAGUCAGGUGUCUCACAUCCUAUAUCUGCAUUUCAUUUUUUCUGCCUAAUUGUAGUAGUUCUCCUUUUUCCCUGUUGAAAUUUAUUUUAUUGGUCAUGGGCUAUCUCUUUAAUUUGUUAAAGCCAUUUUUAAUUCUGAUCCUGGAGUAUUAGCUACCUCUACUAAUUUGGUGUCAUCUGCAAAUUUGAUAAACAUGCUCUCAGUUCCAUUAUCCAAGCGCCAGGACAAAACUCGAUGGCACCCCACUAGUCACUUCUCUCCAGAAUAAAGAGGAUUCAUUGGUGAAAACCCUUUGGGUUUUGUUGAUCAACAAAUCCACACUUUUCUUGUCCACAUUUUACUAGCUUGUUUGCAAGUCUAUCAUGGAGGAUCUUAUCAAGAAUAUUGUGGAGGGCUUUGUCUGGCAUGACUUGUUUUUGAGAAACCUAUGCUGACUUUUAGUGAUACCACACUCUUCUUUUCCAACAUAUCAAUUGGAAGCUGGCUGAUAUAGAGAACUUUCCAUCAAUCCUACUGGGAUUCAUCUCCUUCUUACUGAACAAGGAAGAAGUUUUUGUGCUUGUAAAUGCAUGUCCUUGCAAUGAUCCCAUGUGUUCACUGCUUCC